CAGUAGCCACGGGAAUACAGAGGGUGCGAGCGUUAAUCGGAUUUACUGGGCGUAAAGCGUGCGUAGGCGGCUUUUUAAGUCGGAUGUGAAAUCCCUGAGCUUAACUUAGGAAUUGCAUUCGAUACUGGGAAGCUAGAGUAUGGGAGAGGAUGGUAGAAUUCCAGGUGUAGCGGUGAAAUGCGUAGAGAUCUGGAGGAAUACCGAUGGCGAAGGCAGCCAUCUGGCCUAAUACUGACGCUCAUGCACGAAAGCGUGGGGAGCAAACAGGAUUAGAGACCCGAGUAGUCCCUGUCUCUUAUAC
rnacentral:rRNA from 1 species